AUUGAACGCUGGCGGCAUGCCUUACACAUGCAAGUCGAACGGCAGCACGGGUGCUUGCACCUGGUGGCGAGUGGCGAACGGGUGAGUAAUACAUCGGAACAUGUCCUGUAGUGGGGGAUAGCCCGGCGAAAGCCGGAUUAAUACCGCAUACGAUCUACGGAUGAAAGCGGGGGACCUUCGGGCCUCGCGCUAUAGGGUUGGCCGAUGGCUGAUUAGCUAGUUGGUGGGGUAAAGGCCUACCAAGGCGACGAUCAGUAGCUGGUCUGAGAGGACGACCAGCCACGCUGGGACUGAGACACGGCCCAGACUCCUACGGGAGGCAGCAGUGGGGAAUUUUGGACAAUGGGCGAAAGCCUGAUCCAGCAAUGCCGCGUGUGUGAAGAAGGCCUUCGGGUUGUAAAGCACUUUUGUCCGGAAAGAAAUCCUUGGCCCUAAUACGGUCGGGGGAUGACGGUACCGGAAGAAUAAGCACCAGCUAACUACGUG
rnacentral:rRNA from 1 species